rnacentral:rRNA from 2 species
ACGAAAGGCGUAACGAUCUGGGCACUGUCUCAACGAGAGACUCGGUGAAAUUAUAUUGUCCGUGAAGAUGCGGACUACCCGCGACAGGACGGAAAGACCCCAUGGAGCUUUACUGUAGCUUGAUAUUGAGUGUUUGUACAGCUUGUACAGGAUAGGUAGGAGCCAUAGAAACCGGAACGCUAGUUUCGGUGGAGGCGUUGGUGGGAUACUACCCUCGCUGUAUGACCACUCUAACCCGCACCACUAAUCGUGGUGGGAGACAGUGUCAGGUGGGCAGUUUGACUGGGGCGGUCGCCUCCUAAAAAGUAACGGAGGCGCCCAAAGGUUCCCUCAGAAUGGUUGGAAAUCAUUCGCAGAGUGUAAAGGCACAAGGGAGCUUGACUGCGAGACAGACAGGUCGAGCAGGGACGAAAGUCGGGCUUAGUGAUCCGGUGGUACCGUAUGGAAGGGCCAUCGCUCAACGGAUAAAAGCUACCCUGGGGAUAACAGGCUUAUCUCCCCCAAGAGUCCACAUCGACGGGGAGGUUUGGCACCUCGAUGUCGGCUCAUCGCAUCCUGGGGCUGUAGUCGGUCCCAAGGGUUGGGCUGUUCGCCCAUUAAAGCGGUACGCGAGCUGGGUUCAGAACGUCGUGAGACAGUUCGGUCCCUAUCCGUCGCGGGCGUAGGAAAUUUGAGAGGACCUGUCCUUAGUACGAGAGGACCGGGAUGGACAUACCUCUGGUGUACCAGUUGUGCCGCCAGGCGCAUCGCUGGGUAGCUACGUAUGGAUGUGAUAAACGCUGAAAGCAUCUAAGUGUGAAACACACCUCGAGAUGAGAUUUCCCAUUCCUUUAUGGAAGUAAGACCCCUGAAAGAUGAUCAGGUAGAUAGGUUAGAAGUGGCAGUGCGGUGACGCAUGAAGCGGACUAAUACUAAUCGGUCGAGGACUUAACCAAG